rnacentral:rRNA from 1 species
AACGAACGCUGGCGGCAUGCCUAACACAUGCAAGUCGAACGAGACCCUCGGGUCUAGUGGCGCACGGGUGCGUAACGCGUGGGAACCUGCCCUUAGGUUCGGAAUAACUCCCCGAAAGGGGUGCUAAUACCGGAUAAUGUCUUCGGACCAAAGAUUUAUCGCCUUUGGAUGGGCCCGCGUUGGAUUAGCUAGUUGGUAGGGUAAAAGCCUACCAAGGCGACGAUCCAUAGCUGGUCUGAGAGGAUGAUCAGCCACACUGGGACUGAGACACGGCCCAGACUCCUACGGGAGGGAGCAGUGGGGAAUAUUGGACAAUGGGCGAAGGCCUGAUCCAGCAAUGCCGCGUGAGUGAUGAAGGCCUUAGGGUUGUAAAGCUCUUUUACCCGGGAUGAUAAUGACAGUACCGGGAGAAUAAGCUCCGGCUAACUCCGUG